rnacentral:rRNA from 1 species
CUACGGGUGCUGCAGUGGGGAAUAUUGGACAAUGGGGGCAACCCUGAUCCAGCCAUGCCGCGUGAGUGAUGAAGGCCUUAGGGUUGUAAAGCUCUUUCGCCGGUGACGAUGAUGACGGUAACCGGAGAAGAAGCCCCGGCUAACUUCGUGCCAGCAGCCGCGGUAAUACGAAGGGGGCUAGCGUUGUUCGGAAUGACUGGGCGUAAAGCGCACGUAGGCGGCUUGUUUAGUCAGAGGUGAAAUCCCGGGGCUUAACCCCGGAACUGCCUUUGAUACUGGCAGGCUUGAGCCCGGAAGAGGGUGGCGGAAUACCCAGUGUAGAGGUGAAAUUCGUAGAUAUUGGGUAGAACACCGGUGGCGAAGGCGGCCACCUGGUCCGGUGCUGACGCCGAGGUGCGAAAGCGUGGGGAGCAAACAGGAUUAGAUACCCCAGUAGUC